UGGGGAAUAUUGGGCAAUGGGGGAAACCCUGACCCAGCGACGCCGCGUGAAGGAAGAAGGUCUUCGGAUUGUAAACUUAUGUCAGCAGGGAAGAAGAAAGUGACGGUACCUGCAAAGGAAGCCACGGCUAACUACGUGCCAGCAGCCGCGGUAAUACGUAGGUGGCGAGCGUUGUCCGGAAUUACUGGGUGUAAAGGGUGUGUAGGCGGGUAACAGGGUCAGAUGUGAAAUAUAUGGGCUUAACCCAUAAACUGCAUUUGAAACCGGUUGUCUUGAGUGUGGGAGAGGUAAGCGGAAUUCCCGGUGUAGCGGUAAAAUGCGUAGAUAUCGGGAGGAACACCAGUGGCGAAGGCGGCUUACUGGACCACAACUGACGCUGAGACACGAAAGCGUGGGGAGCAAACA
rnacentral:rRNA from 1 species